UGCAGUCGUACGAGAGUUUUUACUCUAGUGGCGGACGGGUGAGUAACACGUAAGAAUUUGCCUUUAGGAGGGGGAUAACAGCUGGAAACGGCUGCUAAUACCCCAUAUGCUUUCGAGUGAAAUGGAUUUAUCCGCCUAAAGAGGAGCUUGCGGCUGAUUAGCUUGUUGGUGGGGUAAUGGCUCACCAAGGCGACGAUCAGUAUCUGGUUUGAGAGGACGAUCAGACACACUGGAACUGAGACACGGUCCAGACUCCUACGGGAGGCAGCAGUGGGGAAUUUUCCGCAAUGGGCGCAAGCCUGACGGAGCAAUACCGCGUGAGGGAUGACGGCCUAUGGGUUGUAAACCUCUUUUUUCAGGGAGGAAUCAAUGACGUGUACCUGAAGAAUAAGCAUCGGCUAACUCCGUGCCAGCAGCCGCGGUAAUACG
rnacentral:rRNA from 1 species